UUUAAAUUAAAAUAUCAAUCAAAUUUAAGACAAAAAAGGAUUGAAUAGACGCAAAUAAACAGAAUUUUCAAAAUAUUUCUAAUUUAUGUCAUGUGUUUAUGACGUAGGACGAUAGGUGUGUAUUACUUAAAAGUAGUUCGAUGUGUGUGUCGCCAGUGUUGCGUUUGAUGAGUAGAAGAUAGGACCUAUGUCGAACAGAUUGAAACCCUGAUGUGUCGAAAUAACAGUUUCUAAGCUUUAUUAUUUUGUUUGGACUCUUAAUUUGUUAAAAAGAACGUUUUUAUAGACUGGACGAUUACCGAUUUUAUUCAUUUUAGUUUAAAUUCGAGGAUAUUUGAUAGAAUAGAACAAUUUUUGUCAAUCCAAGAUGGCGCCCACAGAAAUUUCCGUAACCGAAUCUUCAGUUGUGUUGAAUUUACUACGUCGCGUACGAUCAAAGAAAAAGACUGUAAAUGGGAAAGAUUUUCAUUAUCGGGCGAAAGCUUUAUUACAAUCCACGGAGAUGAAAUUAUUAUUGGAUCUACAAAAACUUGGUAAAAAAAUGGCAAAACGGGAAGGUGAAAAUGUCGGACAAGAAAUUUACGAUGAGGGUAAAACAAAAUCAGGUGGUAACGACGAUAUUUUAUCUUUAAAUUCGUUUUUUGAGAAGCUUUAUAAAUCAUAAUUUUUUUUUAAUUCAAACUUUUUUUUUUAUAUUUUCCACCAUACGUGUUCAAAAAUUCGCGAUUUGUAUUCUGUUGUUAUAUUUUGUUUGUUAUUGAAUAAAACAUGUUGAUUAUAAUAUACUUUGUUGCAUCAUCAAUUUAAAUCAUAUAUAUAUUAUUUUAUCAGCUUUCAAGCCUUCAUGAAGACUGGCCAAUAUGUCUCGUGUUUGUGUAUAGAGUCCGAGAGGUGUAUGUAGCUUUAUCAGCUUGCCGUCCUUCCUAUUUCCAUACAGUCCAAAGGAAAUAUUGUGGGAUGACACGGUCUCCUUUCAAGAGUAUUAAUGAGUUAAGUUGGUUGCCAACAAGAUCAGCCUAUUUGCAGUUCACUUUCCCUGUGUAUCUGUGCCUCUGACAGACUGGUGUGAUACUGUCCAUGUUGCUUAUAUUUAAAGAAGGUUGGAUUCCUGCUCUUGUUCAGGGUUUCAACAUGAUGAUCAGAAAGAUGAAGUAUGAAAUCUUUUUUUUUAACUAUAAAUGCAAGUUAAAAGAGACCAUAAAUGUUUAGACUUUAUUGUAAAAGUAUUUACCAGGGAUCUCAUAUAUAGACGGUCAUACUGUUUUCCAUGAAGAGAUGACUAUUAAACAAGGGAUUGAGGGAGGAAUGAAUGUUUAUAAAGGUUCAAGUCGAGCUGUAGUUGACUAUUCUGAAUGUUCAGAUGAUAACUUGUCCUGUUAGUAAAAGUAUGCAGUCUUUAUACUCUGUCUCUGAAGCAAGAAACUAUACAUGUUGGUAAACAAGACUGGAUUUCUUUCAUAGACUUGGUACCUUAUUCUUCUGCUGUGUCAUUGCCACAUGGAAUGAAAGACUUGGUUUUCCUAAAGUAAAACUGAUAAGAAAAUGAACAACUGAUGUUGAAAUAACUGGUAGUUUAUUCUAGUAUAAUAAUCUAGUUUGUGACAUUUUAUCAGCUAAUGAGCAGUGGUUUGUAAUGUAUCAGUCAUUUUUUAUUACGUUUAUUCAUUGUUUUCAUUUGACAAGAAAAGAAAUCAGAUAUAAUUGUGAAUUUGAUGGAAUUAAGUCAAACAAAAGAGAUUACUUUAUCCUGUUCCACAUUAAGUUAAAAUAAUGCAAAUUUUGUGUUUGGGAAGUUUCACAUGUUCAAUAUACAAUAUAUAUUAUGUUAAGCAUGCCCUGAAAGCAAUGUUUUUCAGUAUUAAAACUCCAACUUGAAUAUACAA